AUUGAACGCUGGCGGCAGGCCUAACACAUGCAAGUCGAACGAGUGGCGGACGGGUGAGUAAUGUCUGGGAAACUGCCUGAUGGAGGGGGAUAACUACUGGAAACGGUAGCUAAUACCGCAUACCAUCGGAUGUGCCCAGAUGGGAUUAGCUAGUAGGUGGGGUAAAGGCUCACCUGGGCGACGAGCCCUAGCUGGUCUGAGAGGAUGACGAGCAACACUGGAACUGGGACACGGUCCAGAAUCAUACGGGAGGCAGCAGUGGGGAAUAUUGCGAAGUGGGCGUAAGCCUGAUGCAGCCAUGCCGCGUGUAUGAGGAAGGCCUUCGGGUUUUAAAGUAAUUUAAUCGGGGAGGAGUUACCCGCAGAAGAAGCACCGGCUAACUCCGUGCCAGCAGCCGCGGUAAUAC
rnacentral:rRNA from 1 species